GCGCCUGUAGCUCAGUGGAUAGAGCCGCAGACUUCGAAUCUGUGUGGUCGGGGGUUCGAGUCCCUCCAGGCGCA
rnacentral:tRNA from 1 species